GAUGAACGCUGGCGGCGUGCCUAAUACAUGCAAGUCGAGCGAACAGACGAGGAGCUUGCUCCUCUGACGUUAGCGGCGGACGGGUGAGUAACACGUGGAUAACCUACCUAUAAGACUGGGAUAACUUCGGGAAACCGGAGCUAAUACCGGAUAAUAUAUUGAACCGCAUGGUUCAAUAGUGAAAGACGGUUUUGCUGUAACUUAUAGAUGGAUCCGCGCCGCAUUAGCUAGUUGGUAAGGUAACGGCUUACCAAGGCAACGAUGCGUAGCCGACCUGAGAGGGUGAUCGGCCACACUGGAACUGAGACACGGUCCAGACUCCUACGGGAGGCAGCAGUAGGGAAUCUUCCGCAAUGGGCGAAAGCUUGACGGAGCAACGCCGCGUGAGUGAUGAAGGUCUUCGGAUCGUAAAACUCUGUUAUUAGGGAAGAACAAAUGUGUAAGUAACUAUGCACGUCUUGACGGUACCUAAUCAGAAAGCCACGGCUAACUACGUG
rnacentral:rRNA from 1 species